UGUGCUGGGGGUGCUGGGUUGGAGCUGACCCUGUGCUGGGGGUGCUGGGUUGGAGGUGACCCCACGCCGGGGGGGUGGUGGCAGAGGCGCUACCUGCGCGGUGUGCGGAGGUGUUGGGCGCAGCCAGGCAGGACCCGCCGUCGCCAGAGGAGCCCGCCACGUCUGCCAAGGCCCCCUUUGUAACCUGCUAUAGAAAAUGGAGGUUCUACCUUCCUGAGCCAAGAAGCCAUAAUAUAUGCAUAGCUGUAGCUGGCUUUUUUUGGCAGGGAAUGCCGGCAAGCCUACAGAAUUAACAGCUCUACAGAUGGGCAACAUCCAGGUCUGAAACAAGGAGUGAAAGAAGACACGGUCCAGCCAACUCGGAGAAGGACUUUAAUGGGAAACAGUCACUGGACCAAGUUGCUCCAAGAUAGAAUUUGAACUAAUGCCACCUGAUGGAGAGUGGGAAUCACUGCAGCAGAAGAAAAGACUGAAGUUUGGAAGUUCGGGGUCACUUCAGGGGAGCUGGGUGGUUCCCCCCUGGGCUCUCUUUGGAAGGUAUGGUGAAAGCAAAAGGUGAAAGUUGAAAAAAAAAAAAAAGUGGAGAACAAAAGUUUUCCCUAAGAAAAGGAGUAUUUUGAUUCAUUGGUGAUUUUACUGUUCAGGCUGCCAGACUCUAUAAAAGAGGGAACAGGAAUGACCAUCAAAUCAAAGAGGGGACGGGGAUUUGAAAACUUCAUUGUUAUUGUAGCUAGAAGAGAAAAUGGCACAACAUGAAUCCAUUCUAGGGGCAAUGAUUGUAAAUGAGAAAGGGAAUGGCACAAAGGUAACCCUUUCCAGUCCUAACAAGGUACACUUGUGUGGUCUUAACACCCUUUGGCUCUCUAUUUUGUGUAAUUUGCUGGUUUCUUUGCUAGAACCACUGCAUGCUUGUAGCCCUGGAGCAGUGAAUUAGCAAAUACAUUUUCAUCUUUGGAAAACAGAAACUUCCAUUGUAAUUUCGUUAAUGAUGAUCAAGAAAUGUAUUUUAACUGUUCUAUAGCAACAUGAAAGUGAUGUUACAGUGACUAAAGCAAUGUUUUUGGUAUCAGCCUAUUCCAUCCACUUAGAGUACUUAAAAAAUGGGAUGUUUUUUGCUAAGAUGAACUGUAUUCUCAGCAAAAAAGGUCAAGGGACAAACACAUCAAGCCCUGUGCCUGGCUCAGGGCAAUAUGUGCAAACACAACUGGACAAAACAAACCUUGAAGUGUCCAUGCAAACCCAAGUUUGCACAAGCAAAGCAGGAUGUAUAUGUAAAUGGGAGUUUGCUCACAUACAUUAACUAGCUGGAGCAGAAAGCAGCAGGAAAGUUUUGCUUUAAUUAUUUCAGAAAGUGAAGCAGGAUGGUGAUAUUUGCCUGGGCCACUUCACCCUGUUGGCCAUUUCCCACCCUCUUGGGAAAGCACUGAGGAGGCUUUGCUGGUUUGUAGGCACAGCUUGGUGGGUUUGUGUACAGCCAGAAGAAAAGUGGGGCAGGAAUUCAGCAGUGAAUUACAGCGAGGGUCAAACAGAUCCUUAUGGAAAACCUCCUGGGGACUGUUAGAGAGCUGCUAAAUCUUGAAGCCAGACUUGGAGCAGGGCUGCAGCAAGACUGAGAGUAAGUGUAGGCCAAGGUGAAGCCAAAUCUCUCCAGUUAGGUGAUUCUCCAACUCUUGUGGUAUAUUUUUUGCAAACCAUUUGAAUUUGUUAACAGAAUUUAUUUAACACUGAUUAAAAAGUGUUAUGACUAAUGUAGAUACCUAUGUAUCUCUCUAUAUAUCUCUAUACAUUUGGUAUACUAUCAGAACACUCAGAAAAUCCCAAUAUUAUACAUCUUUUAGCAAAUAAAUGACAAUUUUAAGGGCUACUCAUGGGGGAAAAUAUACCUAGGUGAAGUUUUUAAUGUAAAUUUUAUUUUUUAAAAGAAGAUAUGUACCACAGAUAAGGAGAUGGGAUGGGUGAUGACUUCACUUUUAGACCUCAAUUAGGUCUUAUAUCUAACACAAAAAGUAUUUGUAUACUCCUGUUUUAAUUAUCUGUGCCAGACAAAUUAGCUGUUUUUCCUGAUUUGCAUUUUUCAAUACUUUUUAAUAAUCUAAAAAUGCUCCUUUUUUAGGACUCUGUUGCACUUCUGCUACUGUGGUAUUUGGAAGUUACCCACCAUAGCCACCAUAUAGCCACUGAUCCCAUGUUAAAUUUAUUAUCAGUAUUCUGAGUCAAAGGAAUAGGUUUUGAAGCACAAGAGAAGACUGGAAGUGCUAUGUACUGGAGUAAGUGUGAGUGUUUAUUUGAAUGGAUCACAACACAUUUGUGCUUCUCAGAAAUAUGAGGCCAAAAUAAUUUUCCAUAUGUGCAGGUUUAUGAAAUAGAAGGAGGUGCCAAUAUGUUAUCUAAAUGAAAUGUAUUCUCUCUGAAGGUUUAUAUUCAAAUGCAAAUCUGAAGAUACUGAAGUUUGCAUUGUAGGUAUCCACAGGAAAAGGAGCUAAUGCUUUUAUGCAGCAAUGGCAUCAUCUGCAAUGCUGUGAAAUAGCAGCAAUUUA